GACGAACGCUGGCGGCGUGCCUAAUACAUGCAAGUAGAACGCUGAAGGAGGAGCUUGCUUCUCUGGAUGAGUUGCGAACGGGUGAGUAACGCGUAGGUAACCUGCCUGGUAGCGGGGGAUAACUAUUGGAAACGAUAGCUAAUACCGCAUAAUAGUAGAUGUUGCAUGACAUUUGCUUAAAAGGUGCAAUUGCAUCACUACCAGAUGGACCUGCGUUGUAUUAGCUAGUUGGUGAGGUAACGGCUCACCAAGGCGACGAUACAUAGCCGACCUGAGAGGGUGAUCGGCCACACUGGGACUGAGACACGGCCCAGACUCCUACGGGAGGCAGCAGUAGGGAAUCUUCGGCAAUGGGGGGAACCCUGACCGAGCAACGCCGCGUGAGUGAAGAAGGUUUUCGGAUCGUAAAGCUCUGUUGUAAGAGAAGAACGAGUGUGAGAAGUGGAAAAGUUCACACUG
rnacentral:rRNA from 1 species